rnacentral:lncRNA from 1 species
AUUACAUUGAUCCAUUACAUAAAUAGUUGGGGAUACAUACAAGGCAUACAAAUGCCGCAAGAAUACAUCAAUACAACAUACAUGAGAACAACAUCCGACUACAGAUGCAAACGCAAACAAAAGCUCAAGCAACAUCCACCCUGCUAGCCCAGGCUGCCACCAGGAACCUAACCCAAGAUCGACGAAGAAGAAGAAGAACUCCAACACAAGCAAAACAUCGCUCUCACGUCAUGAACAUCGCAUUACCUGUACCUGCAACUGUUGGUGUAGUAAACUGUGAGCCAAGAGGACUCAGCAAUCCCAUUACCAUGGGUAUCAAGACUAGCAAAGCUUAAUGGAUAUGGAAAGGAUAAGGUGGUGAGGUUGCAACCAGCGACUAAGCAUGGUAUGGUGGCUAACUUACGAAUACAAGAGUAAGAUGAGAAACUACGCAACGGUCGCAAACUAGUAAUGAUCAAUAAGUGAUCUUGAACUACUUACAUUCAUACAUAACCCAACCGUGUUCUCCUCUCGAACUUCCCCGAAAAGAGACAAUCAUGGUUACACAACGCGGUUGGUGUAUUUUAAUUGAGUUUACUUCAAGUCCUCUACAACCGGAUAUUAACAAAUUCCCAUCUGCCACAUAACCGCGGACACAACUUUCGAAAGUUUGAACCCUGCAGGGGUGUCCCAACUUAGCCCAUGACAAGCUCACGAUCCGCGGAGACAAUCCUCCAUCGCGGGACUCUCCGAUCAGACUCGGAAUCCCGGUGCACAAGACAUUUCGACAAUGGUAAAACAAAACCAGCAAGACCACCCGGUGCGUCGAUAACCCAAAAGGAGCCGCGCGUAUCUUGUUCUCAGGACAACACUGUCUAUGCAAAGUGGACGAUAGACAAAAAUACCAUCGAGUUACCCGAGGUGGCAUUGCCGACUGCUAGGUAGGUGGACCAACACUCAUGUGGAGCACUGGCCCGUGGGUUGAUUAAGAGUCCUCGGGUGCUAGCCGGUCCCUAUGCAAGUUUUAGUUGUUAUUAGACAAAUGGUAAAACCAAUGUUGGGCCUUGCUGGAAGAGUUUUAUUCAAAGCGAACUAUUAAGAGGGUCCCAUAAACUCUCACCAUGUUAGGGACGCAAAAUCAAGGAACAUAACACCGGUAUGACGGAAACUAGGGCAGCAAGAGUGGAACAAAACACCAGGCAAAAGGCCGAGCCUCUACCCUUUACCAAGUAUAUUUGUGCAUUAAUUAAUUAAGAGAUAUUGUGAUAUCCCAUGAUAUCCAUGUCCCAACAUGGAACAACCUGCAACUGCACAUUCAACUAGCAACACUAUAAGAGGGGCUGAGCAAAGCGGUCACAUAGCCAAACAACGGUUUGCUAGGAAGGGUGAAAAGGUUAGAGGCCAACAUGGCGAUUUGGGAGGCUUCAUAAACAAGUGGUAGGUAACGCGACAUAGCGAUAGCAUCAAGACAACUAGCAUAGCAAAGAUAGUAGUGAGAUCCAAGGUGAUGGUCAUCUUGCCUGAAAUCCCGCUAGGAAGAAGAUCGAAUCCAUGAAGAAGACGAAGCAACGUAGUUGAACGAAUCCUCACAC